CAACCUGGCGGUAUGCCUAUCAUGCAAGUCGAACGAUGAAAUUCUCUGCUUGCAGAGAAUGGAUUAGUGGCGAACGGGUGAGUAACACGUGGGUAACCUGCCCAUAAGAGGGGGAUAACAUUCGGAAACGGAUGCUAAUACCGCAUAUGUCUUUGAGGCGCCUGCCUCUUAGAUGAAAGGUGGCUUCGGCUGCCGCUUAUGGAUGGACCCGCGGCGUAUUAGCUAGUUGGUAAGGUAAUGGCUUACCAAGGCUUUGAUACGUAGCCGACCUGAGAGGGUGAUCGGCCACACUGGGACUGAGACACGGCCCAGACUCCUACGGGAGGCAGCAGUAGGGAAUCUUCCACAAUGGGUGAAAACCUGAUGGAGCAAUACCGCGUGAGUGAAGAAGGUCUUCGGAUCGUAAAGCUCUGUUGUUAGAGAAGAAUAAGUCGGGUAGUAACUGCCCCGACCUUGACGGUAUCUAACCAGAAAGUCACGGCUAACUACGUGCCAGCAGCCGCGGUAAU
rnacentral:rRNA from 1 species